GACCGAGGCUAGAGGCACAUCAGAGCCGAGAGGCCGAGCAGCCCCGGAAAGGCUCCCUGCUCCUGAUGCCACGCUGGCCCAGGGGCUCCGUGGGCACUGGGCUGGAUGGGGCCUGCCACUCCAUCCUUGGGAGGAAACCAAGGCUCAAGGCAGCAGUGAGGUGGGGGUCCUGCCAAGGCACUGGGCCCAAGGGGAGCUGAUUGCACCUGCCCCAUGGGCCAGCUUGGGAGGCAGGAAUGCAAAGCCCCCGGAAGGUGCCGGCACAGCCAGCCACACCAUCACCCUUUUUGGUGGACCUGUGCAGGUGGCCUUUCAUGUGGGGGACCUGCCCACUAGAAGGCCCCCUGCUCGGCCACCUGGCUGCUGUCACCUCCAUGCUCGCAGGCUCUGCCUGUCCCCUGCCCAUUGACCUAAGGAAGGCCAGCCCUUACAAGACCCCAGCCCAACCCCAGGAGCUGAGGUCCCUGGAGCAGCAUCCUGAUGCACCUAGAUGGCCUAGGACCAGGUGGCCUUCUUGGGCAGACAGUGGGGAGUCCAGGCAGGAAGGUGGCCGUGCUGCCAGAGCCUGUGGGAGGUGCCAUCUGUGUCCUCACCAUGGAGCCUAACAGGACCAGCCAUCCAGGCAGCCCACGUUCUCUCCAGGACAUCCACUGCUUUGGGAUGGAGCUCACCUUGCUCCCCAGCAAGCAAGCAUUUCUCCUGUUCCAUCUUUCUCCUUUUUUGGAUUGGAUUUGGUUUGAAUUCUAAA